rnacentral:rRNA from 1 species
GAUGAACGCUGGCGGCGUGCCUAAUACAUGCAAGUCGAGCGAACAGACGAGGAGCUUGCUCCUCUGACGUUAGCGGCGGACGGGUGAGUAACACGUGGAUAACCUACCUAUAAGACUGGGAUAACUUCGGGAAACCGGAGCUAAUACCGGAUAAUAUAUUGAACCGCAUGGUUCAAUAGUGAAAGACGGUUUUGCUGUCACUUAUAGAUGGAUCCGCGCCGCAUUAGCUAGUUGGUAAGGUAACGGCUUACCAAGGCAACGAUGCGUAGCCGACCUGAGAGGGUGAUCGGCCACACUGGAACUGAGACACGGUCCAGACUCCUACGGGAGGCAGCAGUAGGGAAUCUUCCGCAAUGGGCGAAAGCUUGACGGAGCAACGCCGCGUGAGUGAUGAAGGUCUUCGGGUCGUAAAACUCUGUUAUUAGGGAAGAACAAAUGUGUAAGUAACUAUGCACGUCUUGACGGUACCUAAUCAGAAAGCCACGGCUAACUACGUG